rnacentral:tRNA from 1 species
GGUCAUGUAGCUCAGUUGGUAGAGUGCUUGCCUAGUAUGCAUGGAGUCCUGGGUUCUAGCCCUGCACCA